AUUGAACGCUGGCGGCAUGCCUUACACAUGCAAGUCGAACGGCAGCGGACCUUCGGGUGCCGGCGAGUGGCGAACGGGUGAGUAAAGUAUCGGAACGUACCUUUCAGUGGGGGAUAACUGUCCGAAAGGACAGCUAAUACCGCAUAUUCUGUGAGCAGGAAAGCAGGGGAUCGCAAGACCUUGCGCUGAUUGAACGGCCGAUAUCAGAUUAGCUAGUUGGUGAGGUAAAGGCUCACCAAGGCGACGAUCUGUAGCGGGUCUGAGAGGAUGAUCCGCCACACUGGAACUGAGACACGGUCCAGACUCCUACGGGAGGCAGCAGUGGGGAAUUUUGGACAAUGGGGGCAACCCUGAUCCAGCCAUGCCGCGUGAGUGAAGAAGGCCUCGG
rnacentral:rRNA from 1 species